rnacentral:rRNA from 1 species
CCUACGGGUGGCAGCAGUGAGGAAUAUUGGUCAAUGGACGAGAGUCUGAACCAGCCAAGUAGCGUGAAGGAUGACUGCCCUAUGGGUUGUAAACUUCUUUUAUAUGGGAAUAAAACAGGGUAUGCAUACCCUCUUGUAUGUACCAUAUGAAUAAGGAUCGGCUAACUCCGUGCCAGCAGCCGCGGUAAUACGGAGGAUCCGCGCGUUAUCCGGAUUUAUUGGGUUUAAAGGGUGCGUAGGCGGACUGGAAAGUCAGCGGUAAAAUCGAGAGGCUCAACCUCUUUCCGCCGUUGAAACUGUCGGUCUUGAGUGGGCGAGAAGUAUGCGGAAGGCGUGGUGUAGCGGUGAAAUGCAUAGAUAUCACGCAGAACUCCGAUUGCGAAGGCAGCAUACCGGCGCCCGACUGACGCUGAGGCACGAAAGCGUGGGUAUCGAACAGGAUUAGAUACCCGGGUAGUC